AAGACGGCCCUGCCUCCUGCCCAAUUCCCCGGCCUCCCCCAGGGCACAUUAGAGAAAAGAAAACAGGGCUGGGCAAAAAAAGGAAUCUGCGCGACUUUUUCUCCUUUUCUUUCGCCUCCUUUCUCCCUCCCCUGCAGAGAAAUGUCAGAACCCAGGCAAGGAUCCAUUCAUCCUGGGGGCACACGCGAUUCGCGGCCCCAUUCCUAAGAGGCCAGGGGCAGAGGAGACUGGAGGAGUUGGUGGUGCACACGCUUGGUGCAAUGAGCUUGGGGACGGGUGCGACACAGACAAGUUGGACCGUGUUCGUAGUGUAGCAUUGUGGGCAAUGGGAAAGACAACCUCCCGCGGCAGAGUUUGGAGCACGGCUGAGAGCAAUCCGGAGAUGAAAAAAAAUACACCAUCCCCCUAGAAUAAUAAUAAUCCAAUUGCUGCAGGUCCCUGUAGAGCCUCGGAGGCAGAACUCCGCCUUUCUUGUAAACGUCUGUGCCUGGUUUCGCGGAAAGAAGGCGCUUCUCCUCUGACCCAGUGAAUGAGAUGCUCCAGCUGUCCCCUCUGCUCCUAGGUGGUGGAGCAAACGUCUUACUUCUGUUCAGUAGGUCAGGAAGCUUCUUUUUCCUCCAUAAAGUCCAUGUGAAAGACACCCCCCACACACACACACACCCUUGGUGGGGGGGGGGGGAAGGGAGAGUCUUAA
rnacentral:lncRNA from 1 species